rnacentral:snoRNA from 14 species
CUGAAUAUGUUAAGAUUAAGAAUUAUAGCAUCUGCUGGCUGGGGAAAAAGAUUGGAUAGAAAACAUUAUUCUAUUCAUUUACUCCCCAGCCUACAAAU